CUAGAAACACCUGAGGAACAAGGACUGACCUGGAGGAAGGAAGCCUGCCCCUUUGUGAAACCUUGGUGGACUGUUAAUACUACCUACCAGGUCUGCAGACCACAGAGGCUCAUGGACCACAGGUUGAAAAACACCGUUCUAAAACAUAGAACACGAGAACUCCUGGACAGCGAGGGCUAGACUGUGACUUGGACUACUUGCCUACAAGUGGAACUGCGUAUCAGGCUGAAUGCUUUGGGGAUUUGUCUAUUCUCUGCAACAAAAGGCUAAAACUCCUUCCUGGUCAAUAUGUUACUGCACCUGGAUCAUCUGCUACAACUCUAAUAUAAUAUUGCUCCUGAUAUUAUAGAAGACUCUGGAAAAGAAGUAAUAUGCAGAAAUUCUAUUAAGAACCAGUUUUUGUAACGGAGAUUAAUGAAACAGUAAAAAAAAAAAAAGGAGAAAGAAGAUUAUGGUCUCGUGUGGUGAGAAACAUACUGGUAGUACUAAUCAAGCAGAGAGCAUUUGAAGAUGAUGGAAAAAAUGAAGAAUUCAGCCAUUUCAAGACACAAAAAGAAACUGGCAGAAGUGAGGGAAGGAAACUACAGAGGAAAUUUGUUCCAAGCCUUGAUGCAUUGUUCAAAAGCCAAAGAGAACCAAUGAGCAAUGAGAUUUUUUCCAGGCUUCUUGAUGAACCAAAUUCAGUUGCUUACUGUUAAACAGAUACCGUCAGUGCGUUUUAGCUCACCGAAUGUCCCUGUUUUAAUGAAAGAAGGAUCAAAGAUAACCCGCAAAAGGAAAAGGCAAGCUACAAGAGUAAUAUAUUUCCAAAGAGAAGGAAAAAAGAUAAUAGGACUGAAAGCUUUACAGGGAAGACUGUGAAUGAUUAAUUAGUCUCCAGUAACUAGAAGUAUUGCUGAUGACCUGCUAUGCUCAGAACAAUAAUGGAAUAAAAGUGUG